AAAAAUGCUGAUUUAUCUUAUUGUUUGUUUACAAUAGUUAUCAAAGGUACCAGGAUUAUAAUUUAGUACGCCAGACGCGCGUUUCGUCUACAUAAGUCUCAUAAGUGACGCUCAUAUCAAAAUAUUUAUAAAGCCAAACAAGUACAAAGUUGUAGAGCAUUGAGGACUCAAAAUUUCAUACCAAGCCAAAUACGGCUAAGAUAUACAAAGACAACAACAGAAUUCUCAAAGGUUUACUGAAUUAGGUAUGGUUACGUUUAUGGCGAAGUAAAUGAAUAUACAGUUCAAGAGAGGAAAAUGAGAUAUAUUCGAAGAAUUUGAUUGAGAGGUUACUUUGCAAUUGGUGUAUGACAAUCAUCUUUGCUUGGAAAAUACUCACAUAGUAUAAAGUUUUCAAUUUUGUUUAAUUCUUAUUCUGUCGUUUAGCAUAUGAGUUUACACUACGUCCUAUAUAUAAUAAUGAAGGACGCGAUAUGCAACAUAACUUUGAAUUGCAACUACGAUAAGAGAUUGAAUGAAAAUUGGAAUUACAGUAUUAUGUCUAAAAAUAAAUCAUUGUUUCGAAUAAGAAUAUAAUAUUAAUAGGAUUUUACUUUUUUAAAACAUAUGUUUAAGGUUUUGAUUAUUUCAAACGUUUCUUCAUGAAAUCUAUCGACACUAAUGGGUAACCUCUUCGAAAAUUAUGUUGAAUGAAGUGUUAAAAAUGUCAAAUAUUUCUGCUUAUGUUUUGAUUGUUUUAAACCAGUAGUCUUGUGUUAAUUUCUGCAGUAUAAUUAUAUAAAGCAACAACAUAUUACAUAAAGGAACUGAAAGAAGUAUCUAAUGUUUCACUUGAAUUAAAUUUUAACGGAGUUUGGUAAUUAAUUGUGAUUCAUAACAAACCGUUAAGAUUGAAAAAGCACUGAAUAACAUAGUAAGAAAAUAAUAACUCUUUAACAAGUAGGUUACUUAUAUUGAAUAUAAGCAGUGAGUGUUCAAUUCAGACAGAUACUAUUUUUAAUUUGCUGUACGCCAUUUUCCGAAUUCUGAUAUAAGUUUCCGCGAUUUAUGAAUGAACAGCAAAAAAACACACAAAAAGAUGGAGAAACUCCGCCCACCAGAAUAAUAUGUAUUAUGUUAUAACAUUUCUGGUGCAUUAGAGUCACAGGAAGAACAUUGUGGACAUUAUAAAAUAAUGUAACUAAUAAAAAUAUUCAAUAAUUAAUUAUACAAUUAUUUUAAUAGAUAUUCAUUGGAGCUAUCAGCUGUGAAAUAAGGUACAUCUAAUUAACCUCAAUAAAUGUCAAAGAAAUCAUUGAAAUCUAUAUCAUAUUUAUUUUCACUCAUACUAAGUUCUGAUGUUAUAUUACGAAAUAAUCAAACAUUUGUUAUCAUACACUCAUCAUAGAUACCAGUAUAAAUUUUGUAUAUACGCCAACGCGCGUUUCGUCUACAAAAGACUCAUAAGUGACGCUCGAACCCCAAAAAGUUGAAAAGCCAAAUAAGGUACGAAGUUGAAGAGCAUUAAGGAUCAAAUUCCUAAAUGUUUUGCCAAAUACAGCUAAGGUAAUCUAUGCUGAGGUAGAAAUGUCUUAGUUUUUCAAAAUUCUAAAUUUUGUAAACAGUUAAUUUACCACUGUCAAAUGGUAUAACAGAAUAUAAAAAAAACUUGUUUGGUGGUGAGAUGAAAUAGGACAUAUAUCAAGCCUACAAAUAUUUAUUAUAAAUUAAUGACAAAUAUGAAUAAACAGUUGUCCUUAAUGCUUUUAGAUGUUUAUAGAUAAUUGUAAACUUUCCAUUGCCUAAGUAGCAACAUUCCAGCAGCACCUGCAUACGGGGUAAUAUCUCCUAAUUGUUACGAUAUUCCGUGCAUGUAUUUCCUAUCACGAUCUUCUUGAUAGAGGGUUGCUGAUCCAAGGAAGUUAUUAAACCUAGAGUUCCAAAUGUUGAAGUUGAAAUCAUCCCUUUGUAAAUUUUACGGACGCCAUCACGAGUUGAUUGACCGUUAUGGAAUAACUGUUUCACAAAUGAUAUCGGAUAUGUUCCUUACGUUGUAACUACAAUCCCCUUCCCUUUAAUGAAUGUGACCUACCGAAUAAGACUAUUUACUGGAUUUGUUAAAAUAUGAGCAACACGAUGAGUGCCACAUGUGGAGCAGGAUCUGUUUACCCUUCCGGAGCACUUGGUAUCACCCCUAGUUUUUGGUGGGUUCGUGUUGCUUUUUCUUCAGUUUUCUAUGUUGUGUAAUGUGAACUAUGAUUUGACUGUUUGUCUUUUUCAUUUUUAGCCAUGGUGUUGUCAGUUUAUUUUCGAUUUAUGAGUCUGACUGUCUCUCUGGUAUCCUUCGUCCCUCUUUGAUAAAGAUGAAAUAUCCACCGAUUUGACUCAAAUUUUCAUAUUGGAUUGAUAACCAUGUAAAACGUUUAUCCAAAUUAUAAAAUAAUUUACAGGGCAUGAACUUGAAUAUAUGUAGUUUCGUUUCUUGUGUUAAGUCUUCACGCCAUCUAAAUUAUCUAUCGAGUUGACCUCCGAAAACCUCCGGAGGUCAUGUAAGCGAUACAAGCAUAAAUAUAGAUAUAAAUAGAAAGCAAAACUCGUGCAAUUGGAUUUUUUAGGUCUGUUUAAUUUCAUAUUACAAAUUGACAUUAUAUGUAAAUCAUCAUUUUUACCGGUACAAGUAUGAUUUUUUUUAUGGAUCGAAUCAGUAAAUCAAAUGCUUUACCUUUGUUACAUGAAUUUUGAAAAUAUAUACUUAUGUUAGUUUUCGCUUCAAUAAAUAAACAUUUCAUUUAAUUCUUUUUUUUCAGGUAAAAUUGAAGGCCGGCCAUUCUUCAUGCAGUAUCCAAUUCUGUGCGAUAUAAUCGGGAAAAUGUGUACAGUUUCAUGUAUCGUGUCUCUUGGGUCUAUCACAUUGCUCAGUUUCAACAGAUACAUAUUAAUCUGUCACAACUCUCAUUACGAGAAAAUAUUUACUCGGCGAUCAUGUAUCAUAAUGUGUAUAUCACUGUAUGUAGUUGGACUGAUCAUGGUUCUACUUAAUUAUGCUGGAAUUGGUGGACAUGGUUUUGAUGACAAAAGUUUGGAAUGUAUUUGGGACAGAAUGGCAACAUACAGUUAUACUGUUGUAUUUUCAGUUUGUCUUGUGUGGAUUCCUUUGAUAGUUGUAGGAAUUUCUUACUUAAAAUUGUUUUUAUUUGUCCGACAUACAAGAAAACAAGUUACAAGUAGAGGAAACGCACCAGUCAUUGACAAUAAAUCUUUGCGCCUUGCAAAAACAAUAUUUAUUGUGUAUGCAAUAUUUUCGAUCUGUUGGAUACCGUUUGCAAUAUUGCUUGUGGCUGAUUCAAACGAUACAUUUUCCCACGAAGUGCAUCUUUGUAUCACAGUGUUUGCCCAUUUUCAUCCAUCGAUUAAUUUCUUUAUUUAUUAUUUUUCAAAUGAAAAAUUUAAAAAAGAUUUCCAUAAAAUGUUUAAGAUUGGCCACAAUGAAGUAGGAAAAGAGCCUACUGGUCAAGUGUCUCUAUCUUUUGUCACAAGGGUCAAUGAGAAAUCAUCUUCUUCUAAUUGUUGAAUAAAACCUCACACUAAAGAAAAACUUUUAAGGAACUACCAAUGUCGUAAACAAGUUUUGCGCCGGAAAAAUGACAUAUAAGUUAUCAGUUUGAUUUAAAUGACUAUUAAUCAUAAAAUAAAAAAGAAUCACUGCACCUUAGUAACAUUAUUAGUUACUUGAUGAUCUUACCGUUUCAGUAUGAGGAAUGAAUGACUCUUUCCCAAACUGAAAAACAGGUAGCAUCGUAUUGCUUAUUAUUGAAAAGGUAAACAAUGGGAAUUGUAAGAGGUAAAAGAACCGAUAAAUUUCAUUAAAUUAUAUACUUUUGAAAAAAAUCAAAGUCAGCCAUGAUAUGAUAUUCACUAGUAGAUCGAUUUUGCAUUGAAACAAUUAUUAAAUCAAAGGAGUUCUUAAAAGACUGAAAAAUCAGUUGUAAAGUAAGUUUCGAUCGUUUAGUUUUUUUCAGUCUCAUUCAUUGUGAUAAUUCAACACCGUUCGGAUUUUCUCUUGCAGUAAAUGGGAUUGCUUCUGUCUGUAUUUACUUGAUCAUUUGUUUUAAAAGUGCUGUCGAAGGUGCCCGUGUGAACGAUCUCUAAUCCCCUACGUGGCAGAUGCAUUCGAUUCAAAUCUAAAUUGACUAGGAUUGUCAGUUUUCCUACGGAGGUCAGUGGUUCUCUCCAGAUCUCCACUAAAAGAACUGGCCACCCCACAAUAGCAAGUAGUGCUGGAAAAGAGAGGCGAACAAAAGAGACUUUAAAUGCUAAUCAAUAAAUACUGAUGACGAAACAGUUUAUUUUGAACAUGCAAAAUUUGAAAUAUUAUUGUAAGUGAUAUUAAGUUACAAUUGUCUUUAUUUAGAUCAACCAUAUAUAGAAAUAGAGAUUUAUGAAUAUUUGUAGUGAUUAUAAUUGUGAUGAUUGUAUGAAAUAAACUUCAAAGUUCAAUAAUAAAAUGUAUUUGGUGGACCAAAAGAAAAGGAAUUACAAUGAAGAAAAAACAUCACUUUGGUUAUAUUAUUCCUUACUGAUGAAAUAUCAUUGAGCCCCGAUUAUUAUUCUGAACAAAAUCACGAUCAAUGUUGAUAAUACGAUACAAUUAUGAGC
rnacentral:lncRNA from 1 species